UCUUAAAAAAAAAAUGUUCAUAACACUCUUCUAAAUAAAAAAGAAAAAUAUGUGAUGUAUCAUUUUUACUUCAUCAUGUAUAAUAAAUGAUUCUAUCAUACUAGAAAAAACUUUUAUAGUUGAUUGAAAUCUUUUUUUUUUUUGUUGUAACUUUUUCUUAUAUCGAGAACUAAAGGGAGCACUAACUUUUACUCAUCCGUCCAUCUAUUAAAUGAGAGCAGUAUGUGGAAGAAAAGAUGCCAAUGAAAUGGAAAGUGGUAUCUUUGCUUUCUGAGCGAGGACCAGCUGUGGAGUCCCAUGAAGCAGAGUCAAGAUGCAGCUUUGUACAGAAAUUAAGAUAGAUGACCCUAAAAAGUUAAGGCAUGAAAGUUGAAAGAGAUAGCAACCACAAACAAACGUAGUAUAAAGGCAAGAACCAGCUUUUGGGCCCUCACUCACAUGUUCGUUAAAAUACAUACAGACUUUCCAAAGUUUAUAUAUGUAACCCUCUUGCCUAUGGUCCCCUUCUUAAUUUCAAGAUGCUAGUAUAGUUUAUAAAUACUUGACCAAAAAGAAACCGAUAUAGAUGUACUCCUAUAAUCUAAUUUAAUUCAUUUCAUAAUCAUGAA